GGCACCGUGGCCUAAUGGUAAGGCGUUGCUUUCCGGUCUUACUGCCUGGCAAAGAUUGUGGGUUCGAGUCCCAUCGGUGUCG